rnacentral:rRNA from 1 species
UACGUAGGGGCUAGCGUUGUCCGGAAUCAUUGGGCGUAAAGAGCGUGUAGGCGGUCCGGUAAGUCCGCUGUGAAAACCCAGGGCUUAACCCUGGGCUUGCAGUGGAUACGGGUAGACUAGAGGCAGGUAGGGGAGAAUGGAAUUCCCGGUGUAGCGGUGAAAUGCGCAGAUAUCGGGAGGAACACCGGUGGCGAAGGCGGUUCUCUGGGCCUGACCUGACGCUGAGGAGCGAAAGCGUGGGGAGCGAACAGG